GACGAACGCUGGCGGCGUGCUUAACACAUGCAAGUCGAACGGAAAGGCCCUGCUUUUGUGGGGUGCUCGAGUGGCGAACGGGUGAGUAACACGUGAGUAACCUGCCCUUGACUUUGGGAUAACUUCAGGAAACUGGGGCUAAUACCGGAUAGGAGCUCCUGCUGCAUGGUGGGGGUUGGAAAGUUUCGGCGGUUGGGGAUGGCCUCGCGGCUUAUCAGCUUGUUGGUGGGGUAGUGGCUUACCAAGGCUUUGACGGGUAGCCGGCCUGAGAGGGUGGCCGGCCACAUUGGGACUGAGAUACGGCCCAGACUCCUACGGGAGGCAGCAGUGGGGAAUAUUGCACAAUGGGCGGAAGCCUGAUGCAGCAACGCCGCGUGCGGGAUGACGGCCUUCGGGUUGUAAACCGCUUUCGCCUGUGACGAAGCGUGAGUGACGGUAAUGGGUAAAGAAGCACCGGCUAACUACGUG
rnacentral:rRNA from 1 species